UCUAGUAGCUGGUUCCCUCCGAAGUUUCCCUCAGGAUAGCUGGAGCCCAUUACGAGUUCUAUCAGGUAAAGCCAAUGAUUAGAGGCAUCGGGGGCGCAACGCCCUCGACCUAUUCUCAAACUUUAAAUAGGUAAGAAGUCCUUGCCACUUGAUUGGGCAUGGGCAUUGAAUUGGAGUUCCAAGUGGGCCAUUUUUGGUAAGCAGAACUGGCGAUGCGGGAUGAACCGAAAGUCGUGUUAAGGUGUUUAACUGUCGGCUCAUGUAGACCCCACAAAGGGUGUUGGUUCAUAUAAACAGCAGGACGGUGGCCAUGGAAGCUGG
rnacentral:rRNA from 16 species